ensembl:lncRNA
UGACUGUUCCGAGAACUAUUCUUAGUAUCUGCAGUGGCAACAGUGAUCACACAAGCCCCACAGGCCUGCUCCUGCAUUUCUGCGCAUUUCAAGGACAGAGUGAAGAGAGGCAAUAAGAUGUUUAAAAGACUUCACUCAGUCGUGUCCGACUCUUUGCGACCCCAUGGACUGCAGCAUGCCAGGUUUCCCUGUCCAUCACCAACUCCUGGAGCUUGCUCAAACUCAUGUUCAUCACGUUGGCGGUGCCAUCCGACCAUCUCAUCCUCUGUCGUCCCCUUCUCCUCCCGCCUUCAGUCUUUCCCAGCAUCAGGGUCUUUUCCAAUCUCUUCAUUAGAACAAUUUUCUUUUCUUUCAUAUGGCAAAAGGAUCUGAGAGGGGACCUGGUGAUGGCUUUAAAACUGAUUAGAAUCAAGACCAGAUGGACCACUGCAUCGAAGGCUGAUCACACCGUGACCCACUCUCCUUUUCUAUACACCCUCCUCGCCAAACAAAACCUCUCACCACUCCUUGUGUACUCUUUCCUCAGGUUAAUCUUGUUUCCUGGUCAUUCUACCCCUGCUCCUGGAGCCCCUGCUUCCCUAGUAAUAUUCAAACACCCUGGCCCUUGUGAAGAUGUGGUCUCUCCAUCUUCUGAGAUCUCAGAGCAAUACUGCAUCUGUUACGGGAGCCUUGAUGUGUGUUUAUAUUCUUGUCCCUGGAAGCAGAUUUGGGUUCUCAUGCCAGUAUGUCCCACCACCAGUGCCUGGCAUGCAGUAGGUACUCAAAAAAUGCUGGGUAUACUUAAGGGCCCUGUGGUGAAGCAGCGGUGCUCUGAAGGCAGAGACUUCUGUCUGACUCCCACUGCUGCCUCUUUCUUCCUAUGCUCCUUCCUGAGCCUCCGUGUCCCCAUCUGUAAAAUGGGGGAAUGGGUGAUGGCGCCCACCUCAAGGAGUGUUGGGGAGGGUUGUGGAAAAGAACGAUGGAGCAAGCACUCAGCAGCGUCUUGCCUCCGGCAAGAACCCAGAAAGUGGCGACAAUUACCAAUAGGAAACUUGAGGUCUGGGAUCAACCCCUGGCCUGGAGGGAGAAGAGGUUCUGAGAAGGACUGUUGUGCUAGAACCCAGGCUUGCUGA